GGAUCCAGGUUUGGGUUUCUGUUAAUACACAUGAUUGGUUAAGGUCCCUGUCUUCUGUGAUUGGCCGGCUUUAGAAGAAAGGCGGUAGAAGAAGCGUCUGCAGACUUGAGCGUGGUCAAAACAAUGGUCAAAGCUAGAAGGCAUGGCAGACCAUCAAGAGACACAGAUGCAAAAUGCUGCCAUGCGGGUAGUUGCACUAAUAAGAAGUGCCCUGGCUGAGAGUGACCCAUCUACUCAAAACCGUAAGUGUGCUCUCAGCGUGGUGUAAGAUUAUUUAGCUGUGUCAUUCUAUAAAUAUGCCGUUUUAUUUUUUUAAUGGCUGCACAGUAAUCAUAAAAACACCACUGAUGUGAUUCACUGAAAAUUUUGCAAAUCAUAUUACACGUGGAGCUCAUAAAAAUGGACCUGCUUAUGUUUAAAAAAUAGGUGAACCUGAUUUUAAGUACACUUAAAACGCACCAGUAAUUAGUCUGUGUCCUAAGAGUAAAAACUAUAAUGAAAAUAAAGCAAAUGUAAGGAGAGGAGAUUUAAGAGCACUAACUAAUGCCAUUCUUUGGUCAGACACAGUAAGCAUGUAACAGUACUGUAAUGUUACAUUAGAUUGACAUAUUGGCAAAAUAUAAAUGUUGGACCAGGGUGAACAUCACAAUCCAAAAUAAAACCAUCCUGGAUGGUGUUAUAAUCAAACUUAGGUAUUGUUUAGUUUAUAAUUAAAUUUAGGUAUUGUUCACUCUUAAGUUCUAUAAUCAACAUUAGUAUUGUUUACUUUUGCAUGAAGUUUAUUCAGCAGUAUUUUGUGUUAAGCAGCUGUGUGUUUUUGUGUUUUACACAUUUUAUUCAUUUAUUAUUGUAUAGGCAAACUGUGUGUCCUCUCUGUGAACUGCUGGAGUGGAGCAGGUUCUGACAAGCAGAUGAUGAGUUGCAGACAGGCUGAAGGGGUCUAGGGGAGUAAAGGGUUGAGUCCAGUUAGAACUGCAUUCCUGAGAGAGCAUCCUGUGUGUGUGUGGAAGAGGGGAAUAAAGACAGGGCUGUUCUCCUCAUCAGACAGACAAUCUGCCAGCAGAGAGCUGAGUUGCACCGGGUUCUUUGAAUCAGGUUGUAUGGCUGUCUCAUAAAUGCACAUUUAUACUUUUAAACAAUGCUGUAUCUUAUCAUAACUGUUUUAUUAAUAAAGGAGGUUUGAACCUUUAAAAGUACUUUUAUGUUAUAUAUUUCACCUCGGUACCAGGUCCACGUGGGAGGAUCAAACGAGCUCGGGCGGAGAGAGAGUAAGUUCGGUGUUUGUCCGCAACAAUGGGAAGCGAAGUGUCUUCAACUUUAGAAUUAAAAGGUUUAUGAUUUAUGGAUGGCCUGAAGGAGUUUAAAGCCAGACCAGUCUGUGUGGACAUUUUUAAAGAACGGUCUUGUGAAAGAGGCUUAAUUGAAAUAGUUU